AUAAAAAGUUGAGGAAACCUAUGUAAAUUAAUCUUUCUGUAUGAAAUGCUAAUUAAAUAUAAAAAUAUAUAUUGAUGCAAUAAUACAACGAAGAGAUCAUUACAUUUGCUUUUUGUCUAUCACGUCAUUUUCAUUGCAUAUCGAUAUGACAAGAAUUAUCGAUUCGCGGUAGACAGUUCGAUAGUGACAUCUUCAGCCAGGAAGUAAAUAUUGAGUACAAAUGCAUCUGUGAUAUUCUGAAAGGAUUAUUGUUCAUUUUAUUUGGUUUAUUUUUAUAGAGUUUUGUUUAAAUUUAAACAAAUAUACUUUAUAUUACAAGCAUCCAAACACAUUGUGUCUACGUAUUGAUGGAUACAUACUGAUGGAUACAAAUGAUGAAGGCAGGCCUUCUACGUUUACGCUUGUGGUACAUGGAAAAGAAGCGUUCUUUCACGCGGAUCAAAGGAGGACUUUAAAGAUCAAGAUUUAUUGCAGAGGAAUGUCUUCUUUACUCGACUUGACCCUCAAAAGUUGAGUAAGAAAUUCAAGUCUUUGUCCUCCCACGUACCAACUAACGUAUAGUACGAUAUAUACGUACGUAUAUAUAUACGUACAUACUACUGUCUCUACUUGAUGGACUAUGCACACGGAUGAAUAACCCACACAGAAAGUGAAGGAAAAGGAUGAUAGUUGCGGUUUACCAAGAAGGACGAGAACCGUCAUUUUGAUCCAUACCAACACUUAUAUGAGAAACUUAUGGUUUACUCGCAAUGCGAUAGUAUCCCCGUUACUUUUCAUCCCGACUUUUUAAUCUUACGAUAAAUUUUGGCAAGACCUUUUUAAAAAUCCACGACUUUAUUAUU